GAUGAACGCUGGCGGCGUGCUUAACACAUGCAAGUCGAACGAUGAAGCUCAGCUUGCUGGGUGGAUUAGUGGCGAACGGGUGAGUAACACGUGAGUAACCUGCCCUUAACUCUGGGAUAAGCCUGGGAAACUAGGUCUAAUACCGGAUAGGAGCGCCUACCGCAUGGUGGGUGUUGGAAAGAUUUAUCGGUUUUGGAUGGACUCGCGGCCUAUCAGCUUGUUGGUGAGGUAAUGGCUCACCAAGGCGACGACGGGUAGCCGGCCUGAGAGGGUGACCGGCCACACUGGGACUGAGGCACGGCCCAGACUCCUACGGGAGGCAGCAGUGGGGAAUAUUGCACAAUGGGCGAAAGCCUGAUGCAGCGACGCCGCGUGAGGGAUGACGGCCUUCGGGUUGUAAACCUCUUUCAGUAGGGAAGAAGGGAAAGUGACGGUACCUGCAGAAGAAGCACCGGCUAACUACGUG
rnacentral:rRNA from 1 species